rnacentral:rRNA from 1 species
GACGAACGCUGGCGGCGUGCUUAACACAUGCAAGUCGAACGGAAAGGCCCUGCUUUUGUGGGGUGCUCGAGUGGCGAACGGGUGAGUAACACGUGAGUAACCUGCCCUUGACUUUGGGAUAACUUCAGGAAACUGGGGCUAAUACCGGAUAGGAGCUCCUGCUGCAUGGUGGGGGUUGGAAGUUUCGGCGGUUGGGGAUGGGCUCGGGGCCUAUCAGCUUGUUGGUUGGGUAGUGGCUUACCAAGGCUUUGACGGGUAGCCGGCCUGAGAGGGGGACCGGCCACAUUGGGACUGAGAUACGGCCCAGACUCCUACGGGAGGCAGCAGUGGGGAAUAUUGCACAAUGGGCGGAAGCCUGAUGCAGCAACGCCGCGUGCGGGAUGACGGCCUUCGGGUUGUAAACCGCUUUCGCCUGUGACGAAGCGUGAGUGACGGUAAUGGGUAAAGAAGCACCGGCUAACUACGUG